AAUCUAUUUGGUUUUGGUAGACUAAAGAACGAUUAAUUCAACUAGCAGUAGAUAUUUUAUAUGAGUACCAUAAAACAAUAUUGAUUAUGGGUGUUAGUAGUGAGUGUUUUUCUAUGAGUGAAAGCUCGAUUAGGGGAUUAAUUUUUUUAGAGGCGGAUACUUGUGCCAGCAGCUGCGGUUAUACCUGAUCUUAUCUUUAUGCUAGGGAUCUUGGAAAUUUUUUAAAAUAAAGAAAAAAAAGCUGAACUAAUGGUUAAAUAGGUUUAGUAGUAAAACAAAUUCUUUAUACAGAAAUUCCUAAAAUUGGAUUUAAAACUGAGAUUAGAUACCUCAUUAUUCCAAAGGUAAAUUAAAACCCAUAGUAGUAGUAAACCGAAACUUAAAGGACCUGGCGGCAAUCUUUCUCACCGGGGGAGCGUGACGCGUAAUAGAUAAUCCGCGUAAUAAUUCACCUUUUCUUUUUAGUUAGUGUACGGCCGUUUUAAGUCUACCUUUUGAGAGAAGAAAAGAGGGCGUUACUGUUUUAGUCAAGGCAGGUCAUUGUGCUGCUUAUGAAAAGAGGGUUAGUUUCGCUAUUUUGAUUAGAAAAAAGGAAUAAAGGUGUAAAAGUAUAGGAAUUAAGACUCGGAAGUAAUAAAUAAUUAGUAAGUAUUUGUGAAUAUUGGGAGUUCAGGGUUGAGUACAUACCGCCCGUCAUUCUUUUCUAAUAGAAAAGAAAAGUCGUAACAAGGUAACCUCAACUGAAGUUGAGGUUUACUUAGU
rnacentral:rRNA from 1 species